rnacentral:rRNA from 1 species
AUACGGAGGGUGCGAGCGUUAAUCGGAAUUACUGGGCGUAAAGCGUGCGUAGGCGGUUUGCUAAGUCAGAUGUGAAAGCCCCGGGCUUAACCUGGGAACUGCAUUUGAUACUGGCAGACUAGAGUAUGAUAGAGGGGGGUAGAAUUCCUGGUGUAGCGGUGAAAUGCGUAGAUAUCAGGAGGAAUACCAGUGGCGAAGGCGGCCCCCUGGAUCAAUACUGACGCUGAGGUACGAAAGCGUGGGGAGCGAACAGGAUUAGAUACCCUAGUAGUCC